GAAAUAGGAGGUUUUGAAAAAUAUUUUUUCCCCUUUUUCUUUGUCACAAGUCUCCUGGCCGGCACGGCGGCCGACGAGGUCCCGGCGUCCCACUGGCAUCGGCGGGCGCCGGCAACCCCAUCGCGACGCGCCUCAUGCACCUUUCUGUAGACCGAACACACACCCAGGGAUUUUGCCGGUACCCGCAACAUUUGCUGCAUGCUCUGCUCGCCGGCCGCCCGGCCGGGCUUCAAGCAUCACACUCACAACGGAAGUAUACAGUAGCGGCUCCUUCCUCUCCGGCCACCACCACCCGCGCGCCGUGCUCUUGCAUCCCGAGCUUAUUCCCUAGAGCCGUCACGGACGGCCUCGGGCUCUUCGGUGCAAUGCUGAUCCAUGUGGCGCGGAACGAGGCGCCGCGGAAGCAGCGCGCUCAGGCUGUUCGACGAAAUGCGGCUGAGGACGUCGGCACCCAAGUGGCGUUCCUUCUGUAACAAGGGCGGCUGUCCUAAGGUUGCCCCGGGCGCAACGGGAGUGGGCAAGCUGAGGAACAUUCCAGGCUUCUGCGGUAUGCGGCAGUUUGUGGCUGCGUGCUGCAAGCCUUCAAAAUGGAUUUUCUUUUUCACCAUGCCUGACUCCUCUUGCAUGGCCAGUAUUGAUGCUUUCCAGCCAUGAGACUACUUCCAUGAUAGGUGGCCUCAUGCUAGGGUUAUAGUUCACACAUUUGCAAGCAACCUCAAGCACCAUAAGCAUUUGCUCUUCGUGCCCUGUGCCACAGAGUGUUGGAUCCAGGACCUCUAUCUGCUUUCCCUGAGACCUCAUCUCCAGCACCCAUGAGACAAGUUCUUUUGAUGUCGACAGGACUGGAACAGGUCGCAUACCUGUGAGCAGCUCAAGCAGGACAACUCCAAAGCUGUAUAUAUCGCCUCUCAGAGUAGCUACCCAUCCUUGCCCAUACUCAGGAGGAAUGUAACCAAGAGUGCCAACCAACUCGGUCGUGACAUGAGUUUUGUUGGGAAGGAUCAAUCUUGACAGCCCGAAAUCUGCAACAUGAGCUUUUAAUUCCUUGUCAAGUAGGAUGUUACUGGAUUUGAUGUCACGGUGGACAAUAUGAGGCUUGCAGACAUUAUGGAUAUAAGAAAGGCCACAACUUGCUCCUUGUGCAAUCCUGAGCCUCGUCGGCCAGUCAAGAAAUGUACUGGCAUCGUCGUCCCUAUUGUGAAGCCAAUCGUCCAGACUGCCAUUCUCCAUAAAGGAGUAUAUGAGGAACCUUGAGUUUCCCUGGAUGCCGUAUCCCCACAGAGGCACAAGAUGGUCAUGAUGUGCCAUGGACAGCGCUUCAACCUCUGCAUUGAACUCCCUUUCCAUCACGCACAUUUCACCAUUGAGCUUCUUGAUGGCGAGCAUGCUGCCAUCAGGCAGCUCAGCUUUAUAGACAAGCCCAUAACCACCGCACCCAAUGAUGUGCUCCUGAUCGAAGUUAUUUGUAGCUUCCACGAUGUCAGAGAAUGUGAGCUUCUUUUUGUCUCCCCUGAUUUGUGGCAUCAUGAUCAGCUCGUGCUCUGAGCUGGAGUCAAAUGAAGUUGUUUGAACAUCUAUAUUAUCCUCCCUUCUAUUUUUGGAUUUUAAACACUUCAACCUGAUUAGGACAAGGAGAAGCCCCAGCAACAGAACAAUGGCAAUCCCUGCAAAGAACACGCCCAAUGUAAUUGCAAAAAUUGCCUUCCUUUUUCUUCCUUUUGUGAAGGCUGGAUGUGCUUGAGCUGAAAUGCAUUGAUAAACUAGCAUAGAGCCACACAACUUUGGGUUCCCAUAAAAGCUAGAAUUCUGAAAUGUGCUAAAUUGGCCACCAGUUGGAAUAGGCCCUUCGAGGUUAUUAUUAGAAACAUUGAAUGUGGCAAGGAAGUGCAGGUUCUCCAAUGCAGCUGGGAUUUCACCUGUGAGAUUGUUGUUGGAUAAAUCUAGCACCUCCAGGUUUGUGAGAUUACCGAUGGAUGGGGGCACCGGUCCUGUUAAGUUGUUGCAGCUGAUAUCGAGUGAAAUGAGGGCUUUCAGCUGACCAAUCUCUGGGGGAAUCACACCCGUGACUUUGUUACUGCUUAGAUUUAGCACUUUAGGAAAAGCGAUCGGUUUACGGUAUUGAAGUGAUGGACCUUCAUAAACUGGCAGAUCAAAGAUCCUUGGGUCCAAAUGAGCUGCAGUCUCUGAAGUUAACAUUGGCAUAGUCAUCAGUGCUCUUGGAAUUUCCCCUGUAAGGCUAUUGCUUGAUAUGUCUAAAUAGAAAAGGAAUCCCAAUGUGUUGAUCCAGGUUGGUAUUGGUCCACUGAGUCUAUUACCCUGCAAAAAUAACAUCUCCAAAUUUGCUAGCUCCGAUAUCCAAAAAGGCAUUUUCCCUGACAAUAGGCAAUCAGGAAUGGCCAAAACCUGAAGAUUGUUAAAACCAUCGAUUGUGGCAUCAUCCGGCAUGGUCUCGUUCAUGAAAUUUAGCCCAAGAAGAAGGGUGGUGAGGUUCUUGGAGCGUUGUAGUAUCUGAAGUGCAUUUGUUAUAUUUGAAAAACUGUUGUUUGUGAGCGACAGGAAGGAGAGGGAUUUCAGAUUGCCUAGUCCUUCUGAUAGCUGUCCAUGGAACUUAUUUGAAGACAGCCGUAGUGCAAUCAGGUUUCUGCAUGAGUAUAUGCUUUCUGGAAUUGUGCCGCUGAAGUUGUUCCGCAUAAUAUCUAAGGUUUUUAAAUUGGGAAAGUUGGAGAAAUUAACCUUGUUGAGCUCACCGCUGAAAAUGUUGCUCUUAAGGUCAAUUGUUAUGAGAUUUUUGCAGUUACUGAGAGUCGAUGGCAGCUCCCCAGACAUGCUGUUGUAGUUCAGAUGGAGUUCCUGCAAUCUCUUGAGUUGACCUAUGGAGUCUGGAAUCAUGCCGCUGAAUUUGUUUUCUCCAAGAUCGAGGAUGGCCAUAUUGCUGAGUUUGAUUAUAUGUGUGCCAUUAAGUGUUCCAUGUAAACCAUUGCUGGAAAAAGAAAGAUGCUCCAACAAGGUAGCGUUGAAGAGUUCUUCAGGGAGAAUUCCACUGAGGUUGUUGUGUCCAGCCUUGAGCACUCUGAGCUUGGAGCAAUUACCGAGUCCUGGGGGGAUACCACCACUGAGCUUGUUGUAACAGAGUUCUAGGACAGCAAAGGAUGGUGAUAUGUUACAGAAAUGACUAGGAAUCUGCCCAGUAAAGCUGUUGUUGCUGGCAUUGAGUGCGAUCAAAUUCUCCAUCCCCUUCAAUGUUGUGGAAGUAAACUCCCCUGUAAACAAGUUGCUGGAAAUGUUAAGUACCUGUAGAGAGUGGCCAUGGGCUGAAGAUGGCAGCUCAUGCAGGUCUCCAUUGAGCUGGUUGAAGCUGACGUCAAGGACAAUGAUGCUGCUGGAUGUCACCAAUCCCGGCGGCAGGCCACCGGACAGUGAAUUGUAGGACAAGUUCAGGUGCUGCAGGCCGGUGAGGUUCCCAAGGGACUGCGAGAUACGGCCCUCAAGGCCCUUGUAAUUCAGCGAGACAGUGGUGACUGUCCCAUUUUGGUUGCAGGCAAUUCCUUCCCAUUUGCAGCAGUCAUUACCUUGCCAAAACUUGGUGAGGUCGGCAUCCUGCGAGAGCUCUGUGAGGAACUGGAGGAGGGAGGUUCUCUCCAGCUCUGUGCAGGAACUGGCACAGGACACCAAGGAGAUGAGCAGAACAAGGGCAAGGCCAAUGGAAGGAUGAUGGUGGCGAACAAGAAAAUGUGCUCAUUUUCGAAAGAAGCUGAAGAUCUGCAAGAUUCGAUUGUUAAGAGGCAGUAGGACACGGAAAGCAUCAUUCCGGGAGGCGCUGAUAAUAAUUUAGAGCAAUCAUCGGCGUCGCGGUCAAGGUGUGGACGCUGCUUGGAAAAUAGAAGGCGCAAGUGGAGGCAAGAAAACAAGAGAGACACAUGUACUGGAGGUGGUGGGUGAGGGUGACCUGGUGCCCUAUUCUUCUGGUUCCUGACCUUGGUGGCUUGGCUCGAGGCGUUUACUUCUUUGGUACCUUGCUGAUGAUGCAGUGAUGUGCACGCCUGGAGCUGCUUUCCAUGGCCCCGUUGCACAGAUGCGCGAUGGAUCUUGUCUCUUCUUGCUGACCCAGUGACCCCUGACCGGAAUUCAAGAGGGCUCGACGUGAACCGGAUAGCGUGUGAUUUCUGAUGGAUCAGAGAGAGAGAGAAAUAGUUGAGUUUUGAAGCACCCCUGGAGAGUGCCACAGUGGAUAUCUUGAAUGCCUGAACUUGUGAACACGGCCUAUCGAUGAACUUUUAUCCAGGUAGUGAUGCUAAAAUUUUGUUAUUUUUUUGUGGGGCGUCGUCUUACUCAGUUUCAACUUUCAAGAGUUAUCUGUCGAGAUUAUGUUGAUGGUGCUUGCUUGGUUAGUGGGCGCAGUUCCACAUUAUAAGUUGCUCUUUAGUGGUUGCUGAAUGAUUAUCUGUCAGCACGGGUUGGCUGUACUUUCCUUGCGGUGUUGAUUGCAGGACAGCAAAGUUUGCGGCAGCACUAAGCCCUGUCGAGGCUCCAAGUUAUCCUUUUUUUUUUGAGGGGUCAAGGCUCCAAGAUUUCGCUGAAAGCGGAUUCUAAUUCUACCUUUGCGACGAGGCUGCUGAGCUGGCGCUGCAUCCCUCGCUGUCUGUCUGCUCGUUUCUGCACAAUACUCUUAUUUUUUUGGAGGGAGUUUCUGCACAAUACUCGUAUUCGGUUCGGUGCCAGCAAAAGAUUGAGGUUUGAGCGCGUGGCAGGUCCAGAGCUGAAGCCGAAUGGCGUGCCGGCAGGAAAGCGGUACCGGAAUCCACGGCGGCCAGGUCAGUCAGCUGGUGGGCGUCCGCUGCGUGCGCCGUACGCGUCCAGACCAUGGCAACGCGAGCGGCGGCAACGGCAUGCGCGUGGGCGUGGGCACGCGGCCCCCCCGGCUUGCCUCGGGCUCCGUUCACACCGCCCCCGCACGGCGAGACAGAAACCGGCGGCGACGACGAGGACGAGCACGAAGACCGGACGCGCGUAUCCGCUGCGGCCGGACGCGCUGUCCGUGUCGCGUUCGGGCUCCGUUCUCUUCUCUUCUCUUCCCCCCGUCCUGUCGUGUUUGCUGACGCAUCAGGAAUGGAUCCAGGACCAAGAGCGCGUCGUCGGUCGCUCUUCAAAGUCCGAGCUCUGAAAACGGCAAGGCGGCGGCGUCCACAAGUAGAACUGCGGGUUCACACUGCAUCUAGAGGGCCUUAAACUUUGAUCUAGAUAAUUUUGAUUUAAAAAUAUGAAGACCAA